UACGUAGGGGGCAAGCGUUGUUCGGAAUUACUGGGCGUAAAGGGCUCGUAGGUGGCCAACUAAGUCGGACGUGAAAUCCCUCGGCUUAACCGGGGAACUGCGUCCGAUACUGGAUGGCUUGAGUUUGGGAGAGGGAUGCGGAAUUCCAGGUGUAGCGGUGAAAUGCGUAGAUAUCUGGAGGAACACCGGUGGCGAAGGCGGCAUCCUGGACCAACACUGACACUGAGGAGCGAAAGCCAGGGGAGCAAACGGG
rnacentral:rRNA from 1 species